CACCAGCCUCAUCAGCCACUCCUUCGACACCUGCUACUGAUGUCAAAAGUGAAGAACAACCAAUGAAAGAAAACAGAUUUGCUUUCGUAGAUGUUAAUCCAGAAGAAACUGAGCUAAGAGUCCUUUUGCAAGUAGCUUAAAUGAUAGUGAACCAGGUUCGUCCAAGGAAAUCAACAGUAAUGUGGAAGGUUCUCAAACUGGAGCUGCUUUUAAGCAAGAGAAAGAUGCUUCGAUGGGGUCUCAAACUACAGGAAAAGCAAAUUCUGUUUUGUCAGUGGAAGGAUUGGAGAAAAUGUUGGAAGAUCCGACUGUACAGAAGAUGGUUUAUCCGUAAUACACCUCCCUUUAUUGUUCUAAAACAAAGUAUCUCCCGUCAUUGUUAUGCUAUCUUAUUGAAAUGAAUGAUUUUGCUUAAAACUGUUAUUACGGUUCAAGAUGAAAAAUUAGCUACAUCAUUGUUAUGAUUUACGACAGACACAAAGUUUGAACUAUGUUUUGGAAAGUAGUUGAUGAUUAGACAGUAAAACUAAUCUUAGCAGUUGC